AGGAGUUUGUCUGUCUACCGUAAGUAUAUCCUAUAAAUUAUCACUAUCAUAAACUCACAAUGAUUAUGCCUUCCAUUUCUUGUCAUGCCUAUAAAUAUAAUAUAAUCUGAUAAAAAAUUUCAGUGUUUUCCUAUCACCAUUGAUGUGGGAACAAACAACGAGAACUUGUUGAAUGAUGAGUUAUAUAUAGGGCUCAAGCAAAGACGGGCGACUAGGCAAGAAUAUGCUGAACUUAUGCAUGAAUUUAUGAGUGUUGUCAAGCAAAAUUAUGGAGAGAAAGUCCUCAUUCAGUUUGAAGACUUUGCGAACCACAACGCAUUUGAUCUACUUGAAAAAUAUAGAUCAACCCAUCUUGUUUUCAAUGAUGAUAUUCAAAUAAGGAAUACUAGUCAUCAAUACUUAAUUCCUAUACUUUGGUAACUAUAAUAUAUCUAGCUCUGAAACC